GGCGAACGGGUGAGUAACACGUGGAUAACCUGCCUCAAGGCUGGGGAUAACAUUUGGAAACAGAUGCUAAUACCGAAUAAAACUUAGUAUCGCAUGAUACAAAGUUGAAAGGCGCUACGGCGUCACCUAGAGAUGGGUCCGCGGUGCAUUAGUUAGUUGGUGGGGUAAAGGCCUACCAAGACAAUGAUGCAUAGCCGAGUUGAGAGACUGAUCGGCCACUUUGGGACUGAGACACGGCCCAAACUCCUACGGGAGGCUGCAGUAGGGAAUCUUCCACAAUGGGCGAAAGCCUGAUGGAGCAACGCCGCGUGUGUGAUGAAGGCUUUAGGGUCGUAAAGCACUGUUGUAUGGGAAGAAAUGCUAGAAUAGGGAAUGAUUCUAGUUCGACGGUACCAUACCAGAAAGGGACGGCUAAAUACGUGCCAGCAGCCGCGGUAAUACGUAUGUCCCGAGCGUUAUCCGGAUUUAUUGGGCGUAAAGCGAGCGCAGACGGUUGAUUAAGUCUGAUGUGAAAGCCCGGAGCUCAACUCCGGAAUGGCAUUGGAAACUGGUUAACUUGAGUGUUGUAGAGGUAAGUGGAACUCCAUGUGUAGCGGUGGAAUGCGUAGAUAUAUGGAAGAACACCAGUGGCGAAGGCGGCUUACUGGACAACAACUGACGUUGAGGCUCGAAAGUGUGGGUAGCAAACAAGAUUAUAUACCCUGGUAGUCCACACCGCANACGAUGAAUACUAGGUGUUAGGAGGUUUCCGCCUCUUAGUGCCGAAGCUAACGCAUUUAUGUAUUCCGCCUGGGAGAGUACG
rnacentral:rRNA from 1 species